ensembl:lncRNA
UCCAGGUUCCUCUGGAUGGCAUCCCUCCCCUCUAUUGUAUCAACUAUACCACUCAGCUUGGUGUCAUCAGCAAACUGUCUGGUGCACCCAAUCACAAAAAUUAGGUAUAACUGGUAAUCAUGGAAACAUGAUUGUAAGCUUUCGGUAAAAAUAAAAUAGAUAAAUAGAAAAAAAUAAAUAAAAUAGAUAAUAGAUAAAUAGAUAAAAUAGAAACUUUUUUAACCAAUUUGUGUAUAUACACUAACGUACACCAAGAAAUCAGUGGAAUUCAUCAAAAUAUUGAAAAUGGAGCAGGAAAGUCUGCUUGUAGGAGAUUAGUGUUGCCUAUUCCAUUUUGUCAUUCAGAGAAAUAAAUGCCAGACCUCCUACAAGUACAUUUAGCUAACUGCAGAAAACGUGCAGGGCAGGUGGUAGGGAAGUUAAUUCAUAAUCUAACUUGUCAAUUAAAUGGUAGCUUAUAUGGAAUACAGAAAUUGGUAGUGGAGCAGUCAAAAACCAUAACUCCAAAGUUUUUAGAGUGUUUAGUCUUCCAAAUUGAGACUGUGUACAUUACAGGAACAGAAGCCAGUGGAAUUCAGCAGGGACAGUAAAGCUCCAGAUAAAACAUUACCCAGACGAGUUAGUAACGUUCACACAAAACAGGUAUAGAAAAAGAAACAUGACGAGUGUCAUGUAAUCAGAAAACCAGUCCUCCCAAAUGGCAGACCAAUCUAAGACUACUGCAUUUUCCAGUGUUGGCAUUUCUUCUAAUUUGUGUGGUGUUCCUCGAGCAAGAUGCAUAACUUUUGCUUUGCAAUAUAGCAACUAGAAGACCAGUCAAAUGAGCUGCUCAGAUUGAGAAUAGGUUUAACAUGUUUGCUUGCUUUAUUCAUUUAUUUAUUUUAUCGGAUACUUGCUCUGCACUUGAAUUCUGAAUUUCCUGCCAUUUGUCUAUGCUGUUCUGUUUCCCAAAAGCUAACAAAUGAAUAACUCCAUGCUCCAGCUUUUGGGGAAGAUAAAAGAAAUCUGUUUUCCCCAUAGACUUUCUGCAGUAUUCUUAGAAAUAAGAACAUAAAUUAAACGAAGAGUGCGAAUGAAUUGUGAAAAGAGUAGCAGGGUUGUAGCUGUCUCAGCAUAUAGAAGACACUGUGGUUAUAGUGAGUAAUGAGAAUUUUAUUAAUUUGAUCAAAAGUAUCAUCACUUUAAAACAGCGAAUAACAUUUUAAUCACCUAUUUUCUGAUCUUCCUAAGAGAGUAAAUAAUAAAUGCCCAUUCAGUUCUUUCUUCACAGUCAUGAAACUGUUUUACGUUGACUGAGGAAAUGUUCUUUUCCAAACUGAGACUACUGACACGCAUUCACAACUUAUGCUUAAUUAUGAAAUCCCCGUGCUGUUUGCUGGAGAUGGUUUUUCUAGACUUUGGGCUUGGUUGUUUUCUGUGAUCUGCAAGCAUUUGUUGGAUGGAGGACACAAGUUCCUGUUAAGACAGCCUGUUACUGCUGUGCAAUAUUCACAAGUGAUUAAGGAUUCACAUUUGCUUCGAAACUACCCCAAUUAUUCUGCAAUAGUUCUGUCUUUAGGGAAGCACAGCUAACUUAUUUUGGAUUUCUAAAUAUUAGUUUAAAAACAACAGGUUUAAAAAUCAAGCAUAUCGUGUGGUUCUCCAAGAGAUCUGUGCUGUUAGGCUUGCAACAGAGUAGCAGUUACUCAGAUCUCACAAGCCUCAGGAUGCUUCCAGUUGCAGCUCUGAACCCCUGCCAAGCACAAGCAUGAUGAGUGUGGGCAUCAGAAACAGGAAGAGAGAAACAGGAACAGGAUGGGUUAGUUCUGACGAUUCCAACAGCAAUUAAAAAUGCAGUGUGGAUUUUGUCAAGCUUUUUUUCUAUUUAGCCAUAGUGAUUAUAAGCCAGAAUCCACCAUACUAGCUGACAAAGGCACUUUACACAUUGUGCAGCUCUGUCUGAUGCAAACAGGCCCAGUGACAAGGUGCUGCAGGUGGGACUGAUAUGUAGGAAGUGUGCCAGAUGCCUGUGCUCCCUUGCUCUCCAUAGCAGGUAUGGUACUAAGUGAUACAGCUGGGGGAUCCCAGGGGUGACACAGUUGGUCAGCCAUGACACACUUGCUUUAGAGUGAUGGCAAACUUGUGCAGGAACAUCUGUUAGAAUGGACAAAAUUCUGAAAGGAAAGAAGAAAACACCGGGAUUAUAGUAGCACUCACUCUCAAAAGGCACAAGAUUUCAGGUACGAGGGAGGUCACCAAGUCCACGUAGUGUAGGAUAGAUUGAAGUAGUGGCAUGAAAUUGGAAUCCACAUUUGUUUUCUUAUCUUUCCCACAACUUUCCUUUCAAUUUGUUCAUCACUUGGAUGGGCAUGUAGUUAUUAGCUGCCUCAUGUUAUUUGUAGCAGGACCAAAGAGCAGCCUCAGGGACACUGCAUUUACCGAUAUAUAUAUUACCCAAGAGUACCAGACACAGCCUGAAUUCACUGGCUAAUUAACCUUGCUGAGAAAGAGCAGAUUGUAUCCACUGGAUGUGUAUAACAUGAAUGACUAGAGUUUUAAUUGAACGUAAAUGAAAAAAAUCCUGUCUCAUAACCUGUACCGGCCCUAAACUCCUCGUGACACUCACCAGCUUUCCUUCUCUCAGGCAGAAUGCAUGGAGCUUUCUCCCAGACUCAGACUUUCUCCUGUGCUUUAGAUAGGCCAGCAAAUUAGCCCCUAGACAUCUUUCUUGGCUCUAAGCCCUCUCCAGCUUAGGAGAAACUAACAGAUGUGCCCUUUUGCUAUUCUCCUGCUCUGAGCUCAUUACAAGUUUCCAGGCAGGGGAAAUUAGCAAAGUCUCCUUAGCAUCUGCCUUUUCCAGCUGAGGAGGAACCACCUGCAGACAAGAUUCCCAGUCCUGGCUAUCCGAUUGUGUUUGGGCACAGGUACCUGUAAGUUUGCCUUCCAGACUGUUCCCUUCAUUGGCACUUGUACCAGCCCUGGCUGUUCAGCUGGAGCCUACAAACCCCUGGGUUUUUGCAGGGGAAUUGAAAUUUCUUUGCUUCAAGGGCUCAGCCUUUGCAGCAUGGUUCCAGAGAACUUGCUAUGGGUUUAGACGAAGAGUCAGAAAACCAAAAAGCUCCUCUAAUGCUUUUGUUAUACUUCCCUGAUGUUGUAAAAGUAGCUGAGGAUCUGUUGUCAAUCAGUUGCCAUGGGCUUUUUUAUUUUUCUUAAAGCCUCGGGUUACAGAGCCCAGAAAUUACCUAAGAAACUCAGUUAUUCCUUUAAAAGUAGUUAAAAUAACAGCUGUGGGUAGAGGCAUGGAAACGCUCAUCCUAACAAGAAAGUAAGAGCAUUUUUUGUUUGUUUUGUUUUUUAAGUGUGAGAAAGGCAGGUGAAUGGGGCUGGGGAGGGGCAGAUAGCAGCCACCUGGGCCACAUCCUGGGUGGCAUGUCCCUAGACCAGGUCACCUGGCGACAGACCAACUCCGUACUGAUCCACAUGGUGAAGCCUCUUACCUGCCCUGCUCACGUGAGGAGGAAGGGAAGUGCCAUCUCUCACCAGACUGCAUGCUGGAGGCCUAAUCAUCCAGGUAGGCCUGGCCUUUCAGUAAGGCAGUUGUCUUCCUCCUCCCCUCUCUCCUGGCCACAGGCUUUGCUUCAUUGCCUUGCCUGGCUCCUUCUCAGGCAGUAAGUUAUGAAGCAGUGAAUUACGAGCACUUUCAGCAGGGAGCAGGAGACAGGGAAGGGCAGGUUUGUCACAGAUGGUGGUUUGGUGAAGCAAUGCCAACCAUGAAGUAAAUUUUGCUGGUGGUGCUGUAGAGAUGACUGCUUUAAAAUAAGCGUCUGCAUGAGGAGCGAAGUCUUUAUCACUGAUCAGGUGUUAUUGUGAUUGAUCACAGGAAAAGUUAACACUGUUGAAUUCAUCAUGGCAGUGCUUUAGCAAAAACUAUGUCCUGUAACAUGAGAUGCCUUUGCAGCUUUUGUUCCCUUGUAGUAAUUAAAAGAUUAACAGCACAUUCUUGAAAAACAAGCAAACAGAAAACUUUUUAUUUACCAGCAGAAUAUUACUGGGAACCAGGAUGAUACUCUUAUGGUUUCUGAUGUGGGGCAACAAGCCAUAGGAAACUACCACCGAGGAUAUGGAAGAGUUAAGUGAUGCUGGAGGAGCUUUGAACCAAGAAAGGAUAUGCAUUUUCUUUUGAGGUCAAUCUUUUUGAGCCUCAAACUGUUGAAUCUUGGUGCAGGAAUUAUCAAGUAUAUUAUCUAUACAUCCUGUGAAAUGCAUUGGGGUGGAUGACUGGAGAGUUUACUCCAGUUUUACAGUGAUAUAAAUCCUUCUGUGCUGAGCCACUGGCCUUAUUACAACAGAUGUCAUGAUCCUAGAACUGUUGACACUUCAGGAGUGACCAGACAGAUUAUUUACCUCUGCUGGCUGUAUUUUCAGCCUUGGAACAGAGGUCCAUCUCACACACAGUAAUGCAGAGUGAAGGCAAAUACACAAGGACUGCUCAACACAAACAGGACAGCUUGGAACAUGAAUUUACAUGACACUGGUUAAUUUUUUAACCUCUUUCUGGAGUCAGUGAAGAGAAAAAUGUAGUUUGCCUGUUCUUCUGUCCUGUUUCAGAUAUCUGCAGUGAGAUGAGAUGAACUUCCAGUUACUGAUCUACCCAGAUAGGUGAACAACUGGUUUGGGUCUCCCAGCUCUAUUGAUUGCAAUGGUGUUUUUUUUUUUCUUGGUGUCCAUCAGUAAAGCAGACAACAGAAUUACAACAAAUUUGAGGAAGGAUGGGGCAUCUGAAUUUGGUAUGGGUUUUGUUUGCUUGUUUGUUUGUUUUCCUGUGUUUAAUUCUGUUUGGCCAUAUUAAAAGCUGAUCAGUACUAAAUGAGUCAAUAGGUUUAGGAAACAUCCAGGUAUCACAACAAACGAAUAAGGAUAUUAAUAUGGGAAAUAACCAUUCAGAUUGAGUGAAUGUGGAAUUAUAUAUAUAAGCUGGACAGACGAGAUUCAUAGGAUAAAUUUGAUGUUACAACAAUAGUGUCUGUAUUGGGCUGUUCCGUGCACUGUGCCAAUGACAUUCCACAUAGCUACUUUUGAUAUACCAUAUUACACACUUCAGCAUUUUUGUGGCAAAUGGAAAGAAAUACCCAAUGAAUUUUAAUUAACCAAAUUACAUGAUAGUCAAAUCAAAGAAGAGAUGGGACAGUUCCAUUUAAAAUUAAAUCAAAUGCUUUGUAAUAUGGUACAGACAAAUACAUCUCAAUUGCAGCACACAACAUCAGUGCCUGUAGGGGAAUAUAGAACAAUGUAUUCCUAAUGCCAGACACUCAAGAGACUAUUUAUUUAAAUUGCAUAAAGAUUUACACUCUGCUAAUCUUAUUAUGAACAUUACAUUGGAUACCCAGAUAGAAGCACAGUGCAUGAUAAAAUUGGGCCUUAAAAGAUUAUUACAUUUGUGAGGAUCUUCUCCUAAAUAAAGGUAGCAGGACGUUUACUUUCGCAACACCUGGAUACAGAAAGUAAUACUGGUACAAAGCAGUAAUGCUGUUGGACUUGUUUAAUGGGCAAAUUCUCCUCCUGCAUUUCUUUUCCUGUUGGAAGCCACCAUUAACACCUGUCAGAUCCACAUAAACACGUUCACCUUUCAAUUCAUGUGACCUGGUUGUAUUAUAGCUUAUGUGGGUUCUGAGGGUGGUAAAUUAAUAGACAAUACAAACCAUUUCUCCAAGGCAAUAAGUUCCCAUACUCUCUUUUUCCACAGGAAGUACUCAGCUGCUUUUCCAUUAUUUUCUUCUAUGUUUUGUUGUAACAGCUGUUACAGAAAGGUGAACUCUCAUGUGCAAAUUCCCCUGGUGACGUACCAAAAUCCAAGGUUUGUGUUCUCAGAGAUGCUGGAAAGUAAGGAUGGCACUGCAGAACCACGUUGCUGAUAAGAAUGUGACAGUUUUCAGCUGUAUGAUCUGACCAUCUCCAGAGUUAACCAGCACAUCCAGGCAUAUUGAACUGAUUUAUUACCAGUGGAGGGUGAAGUGGCAGCUUUGAUUUGAAAUCACUCACCUUCUUGAAAGGGCUGAGGAGCCAUUCCUAUUUCUUUUAUCAAUCAUCCAGCGCAAUUUGGAUGCCAGUUGCCCAGCUGGGAACUUCACCCACGGUGACCCACUGCAUCCAGAAAACAGUAUUUAAGAAAGAAAACAGUAUUUAAGAAAGAAAACAGAUUUGUCAGACACAUGGAUUUGUCUAUCCUCAUCAUGCCACAUAACUGCACAUUCUACACCAGCAUUGCUUCAGCUCCUGGAGCUCAAAUCAAAGGCUUGUGCUUUCCACAAGAUGUAAAGAGGCCAAUGAUGUCCUCCCACAGAUAGGCGUGUUUCAGCAGAAGCACUGCAGGAACAUGAAACAUGCACAUGCCUGAUCAAUCUCUUAAUCAUCUUAUCCAUAGAAUCAGGGCAUGUGUGCAUCCAUUGUGAUGUAAUCCAAUUAGGGCCUUGGUAAACACCAAAGAUACUGCUGUGGCAAUAAUAGCAAUUAAUGCAGAACUCUAACCUGGUUCAAGGACAGAGACCUGCCAAGUCUCGUGAGGUGAGAGUUAAUGACCCUGUUUUAUCUGCCCCUCUUCAGCCUUUGGAGUCUAAGGGCUGAUGGUUUCCUGCUUUUUUUUUUUCCCCAGCUGUGAGCUGGUGGCCACGGACCUGCUGACCUUCCAUGCAUGGUCUGUGGGCUCUGGAAGUUGCGCAGAUUAGUUAUGCUGCACAUGGGGGGCAGGAUAAGACACCUCCCCUGACAACUCUUCCCUUCCCAAGUGACCCGCUGUGGAGGGACUCGGCUCCUGUCCCAUCAAGUGGCCAGGAGGAUGACCUCACUGAACACAGGCUCAAGAAAUUGGAAAAUGUGGCUAUGGGAGGCCAUCACCUCUUGGGCCAUUAUGCCUGUGACUCUUGCCUGCUCAUUUAUUCCCAUUAGUCUUCUUGCCCUUGCCUCAGCAAAGCUAAUAUUAUGUACAUGUGGGAGGCAGAGGGGAGUAUAAAUAGGCAAGGACUGUGAUUUAAAUGACUGAUUAAUAACAUUAAAUUUAUUAAAGGAGGCCCAUUGAAUUAGACCCACUCCUGUGCAAAUUAGAUUAAAAUGCCCUGAAUAGAUCAGCUGAUCAGCUGUUUCAAUUUUCCUUCUCUAGCAAAUGACAUAAGAUUAUGGCAUUUUCACUUGUAAGUCAUCCUGUUCCCAAAGAUUAAUUUAAUUCAUAUUAGUCCUAGUGCUUAGAAAAAUCAUCUCUUGUACACCUUGAGAGAGGCUUCACAGAUCUGUGUCACCUACUCUUUUAUAAGCAGCUUGAGGUAGCUUCUUUUCCAUUUGCUAUCACUGAACCACCUAUAAACAGAGGAUUUAUAGACAGUCUCGGUUUUAAAAUGCUAAAUUAUGAAACAAACUAGUUUUGUGUUGCCAUAUUGCCAAAGAGAUUCGCUUGUUGUAGCAGUUGGAUGUGUGGAUAAAUGGUAUUUCACCCUAGGAGUCCAAUAAAACUCUUGGUCUUAGUGCCAGCCAUUUAGCCUCUAGAAGAAGCUGAAAUUUGUUUCAUAAAAGUGCAACUAAUGCUCAUUUUGACAGUCCUAUUUUCUUAAAAAAUAUUCCCAAAUUCUUCACCUCCAAUUUAGAUAACUAAAUAUUUUUAGUUAAAUUAAGUCAAUAAGUAUUCUUGAGUUCAGGGCUUUUCACACCCACACACUCCUCUUCAUCUUUUUGAUUGGUAGAAGAGUUAAAUAUCUCACAAAAGCCAGCUUCCAAUUUUUCUUUUCAAUAGAAGUGAAACUCUUUUUUCACUUAGCACACACGCAUAUCCAUAAAAAUAGUAUUUCUGGAACAAUGUCUUGCCACUCAUCAAACACUCACAGCACUGACCUCCAGAGUUUCAGAUUAUUUGAGUUCUGUCUCUAACAAAGUAGGAAGCAACCUUUCAAUCUUCUUUUUUUUUUUUUUUUUAAUAGUACAACAAUGUGGUAGUUGGCAUCAAAUUAGGCAUUUGAAAUAGAACCAGCUGGUGGUGGUGACAACUGUUUCCAGGGAGGGAGCCUGGAUUCGUGAAUUUCCUCACUUUUCUCAUUAUGGAUUUGAUGCUUUAAAACUGUAGUAUAUACCGAUUUUCCUUACUCUUUCCUCUAUUCUGUGUUGGUCAGACAUGCUGGCUAGUGAGCAGAUAGAAGAUUUCAGUGUUUAAUAAACAGGUGCUAGCCUGGUGAUUUGGGAUCUUUGAAGACAAAGGCAUCACAGAAACUACAUAAGAUUCUGAGGGGAAAAAAAAAGUGUUAUUUCCAUUGAAAAGUUAGUUGCUGGAAGAUUUCCAGCUUGUAAUGAAGCUUAAGAAAGGAUUCUCUUUGUCGUGGAAGAUUCAUCUGUGGGAAGUUAUAUCAAGGUGGGAUGUCUAGGACAUGCCUUCCUCACCUCACCUCUGAUGUUUGGGUAGAUUAUGAUGGAAGAGACAUCCAUCUGUGGAGCAGAAGGCUGGUUGGCCUUAAACGUGGUUUUAUCCACUCAGCUAAUGACAGCUUUCAAGCCGUAGAGUAAGAGAAUCCAAUCCUUUAUCUUGAUAUCAAAUAGGUGUUGGCAUUUCCAUCAAAUAGGAUAAAUGUAACUUAACGUCUCUCUCUUCAAAGGAGUCCAAAUCAGCUGGGAAAAUAAGCUGCAACUUAUUUAAUCAGAAGUUUUACAUAUGAACUUAAUCUUUACUGGAUGAUUACAUUGUGUUUUGUUAAUAAUAUUUCUUUUAUUAUUUAGGGCGUCAUAUGACAAACACUAGAAAAUGGCUUAAGAUGCAGAAUCUCCGAAUCAAACCAUGUUGUGAAGCCAACAGCUUUGCUCACCACAAAUUUCAUCAACUGAAGACACAUAUUUUCUGUUGGUGCCCAGAGAGUAAUGAAAGCAGAACUGCCACCUUGGACUUCCGGAGGGCGGACUUCAACCUCUUUAGGACCAUGGUUGAGAGGGUCCCUUGGGAGGUAAUUUUGGAGAGCAUGGGAGCCCAGGAAGGCUGGGAAUAUUUUAAGGAAACUGUUUUAAAGGUGCAGGACCUGACCACCCCCAUGUCACGGAAGAUGAGCCGACAGGCAAGGAGGCCGGGCUAGCUGAACAGAGACCUUUGGCUGGAUCUCAAGAACAAAAGGAAAGUUUAUGGUCUCUGGAAGAGUGGGCAAGCUACUUAUGAGGAUUACAGGUAUGUAGUGAAGCUGUGCAGGGAGAAAAUUAGAAAAGCCAAAGCACAGCUAGAAUUGAGCUUGGCCACUAAAGUGAAGGAAAACAGUAAAUGCUUUUAUAAACACAUUAACAGCAAGAGGAAGUCUAGGGAGAAUCUCCAUCCCUUGUUGGAUGCCGAAGGCAACCUGGUCACCAAGGAUAGGGAUAAGGCUGAGGUACUUAAUGCUUUCUUUGCCUCAGUCUUUAAUAAUAAGACUUGUUACUCCCUGGGAACACAGCCCCCUGCGCUGGUAGAUAGGGAUGGGGAACAGAAUAAGCCCUUCAUGAUCCAUGACGACAUAGUUUUGGACCUGCUGCAAAAGCUGGAUGCUUACAAGUCCAUGGGGCCGGAUGGACUGCACCCUAGAGUGCUGAGAGAGUUGGCGGAUGUGGUUGCCAAGCCACUCUCCAUUAUUUUUUGGUAGUCCUGGCUAACUGGGCAUGUCCCAGUGGAUUGAAAACUGGCAAAUGUGACGCCCAUCUUCAAAAAGGGCCAGAAAGGUGAUCCUGGUAGCUACAGGCCUAUCAGUCUCACCUCGGUACCAGGGAAGGUCAUGGAACGAAUAAUCUUGGGAACCAUCAUGGACCAAGUAAAGGUCAACCAGGGGAUCAGGCCCAGUCAGCAUGGGUUUGCAAACGGUAGAUCCUGUCUGACAAACCUGAUUUCGUUCUAUGACAAGGUGACCCGCUUAGUGGAGGAGGGUCACGCUGUCAAUGUGGUCUACCUGGACUUCAGUAAGGCCUUUCACACUGUCCGCCAUAACAUUCUUGUGGAGAAGCUGGCUGCCCAUGGUCUGGAUGGGUGUACGCUCUGCUGGGUGAAGCACUGGAUGGAUGGCCAGGCCCAAAUUGUCGUGGUCAAUGGAGUUGAAUCCCGUUAGUGGCCGGUCACGAGCGGUAUCCCCCAAGACUCAGUGCUGGGGCUGCUUCUGUUUAAUAUCUUCACUGAUGACCUGGAUGAGGGUAUUGAGUGCAUCCUCAGUAAGUUUGCAGACGACACCAAGCUGGGAGGGAGUGUUGAUCUGCCAGAGGGGAGAAGGACACUACAGAGGGACCUGGAUAGACUGGAUUGAUGGGCCAAGGUUAAUGGCAUGAGUUUCAAUAGGGCCAAGUGUUGGGUUCUGCAUUUUGGUCACAACAACCCCAGGCAACCCUACAGGCUUGGGGCAGAGUGGCUGGAAAGCUGCCUGAUGGAAAGGGACCUUGGCGUACUGUUGGACAGUCAGCUGAAUGUGAGCCAGCAGUGUGCCCAGGUGGCCAGGGGGGCCGGUGGCAUCCUGGCUUGUAUCAGGAAUAGUGUGGUGAGCAGGACUAGGGAAGUCAUCCUGCCCCUGUACUCGGCAUUGGUGAGGCCUCACCUCGAGUACUGUGUUCAGUUUUGGGCACCUCAGUACAAGAAGGACAUGGAGGUACUGGAGCAGGUCCAGAGAAGGGCAACGAGGCUAGUGAAGGGCUUGGAAAAUCAGCCCUAUGAGGAGAGGCUGAGGGAGCUGGGGCUGUUUAGUCUGGGGAAGAGGAGGCUGAGGGGAGACCUUAUUAUUCUCUUCCAGUACCUGAAGGAUGCUUACAGUGAGUGCGACUUCUCACUGGUGACAGGUGACAAGACGAGGGGAAAUGGCCUCAAGUUGCACCAAGGUAAGUUUAGGUUGGACGUUAGAAUACACUUCUUUACAGAAAGAGUGGUUAAACAUUGGAAUAGGCUCCCCAGGGAGGUGGUUGAGUCACCGUCCCUGGAUGUGUUUAAGAGCUGUUUGGAUGUGGUGCUCAGAGAUAGGAUUUAGUGGAGGGUUGUUAGAGUUAGGGUACUAUGGUUAGGCGGCGGUUGGACUUGAUGAUCUUUGAGGUCCUUCCCAGCCUGAGUAAUUCUAUGAUUCUAUGAUUCUUUCCAUUUUUUUCUUGUUUGUUUUUGUUUUUUAUAUAAAUAAGCACUUGGUUACGGACAUGAGAGAAGAUGAGAAGAAAAGAUAGGGUUAUUUAUUUUUGAUAAAUGUAGAGAUGCUACCAGACUCUUCAGGUUGUUCUUAUUUUUUCUUUUUCCAAAGUGAAAAAAGAUCGUAGGCUCUUCAGUUCAGAUAUUUACAGACUAAACUAAGAUUUACAGACUAAACUGUUUUGAUCAGACUCAUUUUUGAUAAGGAAUUCAAGGCAGAGAACAUAGAGUAGGUCCCUUUCCCAUAGACAUUGAAUGCUAUAAAAUGAGACUCUGUUCUGAGAUAAAAUUGAACUAUGACCACUCCUCCCACUAUGAACCUGAGAAAUGAAAGAGCACUGCUGGCACUCAGGGAUUGCCUACACAUAACAACUGUGGGACUUUAACUACUCUUUCAGUGGGACACUAGUUCAACCUUUUAGCAUUGUCUUGCAACUUUCUAUGUAUGUAAGGCCAAUAUAGCCACUGUCAGGCAAAAAGUAGGCCACGUACUAUGGAUAAAUUUCCACUGAAACAAUCGUGUCCUUACAAGAGAUUGUACCAUUAUACUACUGCAUCAAGGAGAAGACAAUGACAACAAUAAAAUUAAAACCAAAAUCCACUUCUAGCAUGAACUGCUCUGACAAAAAAUAAAAAUAAAAAAAUCUACAUAUACACUUGAAUGGUUUGUCAAGGCAGAUAAAAUGUCCAUUUCUGACAUCUUGUUGAACCAGCUUCUUUACAAAACCAUGUGAAGGUUCAUGCUAGCGUGCUGCCUCUUGGCUCCCUCUUUUAUGCUCCUGUCAAAAACAUAAUAGCAUCUUCAAACAGAUUUUAGAGUUCCGGUGAGAAGUCUGGGUGAAGUCUCAGAGUGAGCUCUACACAGUCUUAGCUCUCCUAAUCCACAGUGCUUCUAGGAAAGAGUGUGCCAACCUAUCACCUGUAAGGAGAGGCUGUAACAAGGAAAUUAUAAAGAACAAUGAAUGCUUUCAUUGCUCCUUCACAUAGGAUAUGGCUAGAGUGAUCCUCCAUCACCCCUAAAGAGCUACACAGAUGGCAAGAUUCUGCAAGAAAGUACUUUAUUACCUAUGUUCUUCACAUUUUCUUGUCCCAUAAAGGUUUAAAAAGAUAUGAUUUGCUUGGCACAAAAAAAGCAUAAUGCUAGAACAUGGUGUUUCAACUUUGAAGCCACAGUUUUGCUUCUGAGCCUAUUUUUAUCUCUGUGCUUAUUAUUAUUGUGCAGUUUCUUACAUAAAAUAUGAAAAGUUGGGACAAUUUCAGCAAAAUAAGCCUUUUCUUCUAUUGUAGUAGCUGUAUGUGAAAUAGCUCUUAUACUCCAAGUACUUUAGGUUUUGGUUCCAAAUUACUUUUUGCUCCUCCAAUCGUUCCCACCCUAUAUCUUCUUGCUGUGCUCUGGGAAAUGAGCUAGUGGCCUCAGCACAGUUUAUGGUGGACAGAAGCUCCCCACCACUGAAAACUAUCUCUGCAGAAGUCUCAGUGUGUUGGUAGCGUCAGCAUAGAGUGAUCUGGGCAGACUGCUACAUAACUUGGAAUUUUUAUAAGCUCACACCCAUGUGAUCAAAAUAAUUAAUAUGUUCAUCCUGGCAACACCCAUGUGCAAAAAAAGUGCAUGAUAUCUGUGUUACAGCUGUGCGGCUGAGGUGCUGAAAGAUAAAAUCUCUUGGUCAAGGUACCACAGGAAAUGCCAUUCCAGCACUUAAAUCCCAAAAUGAUCCAGGAACGUCUCAUCCCACCGAAUAUAUCCUCCAAGCAGGAAUCAGUCACCAAUCUAACAUGGAUGGUGGCCUUUUAGAAAAACCCCAGUGCCGUAUGUGGUGGAUGACUGUAUUUGGCUAAGUCUAACUACUUCCUUCACCCAGAUGAAAUCCCUUUACAAAAUGAAUCAGUCAAAACAAGCAUUGUAUAGAGCUGCAUCAGAAGGUGCAAAUCACUCUCUCACACACUAGGUACCCUGAAGGGUGAAAUUUAUCUUACAGAGUAGAUGUAGGAGGCAUACGACUAAGUUCAGAGUCUCCUGCAGAUUGAGGACUGUGGAAUUGAAGUGGCCAGAGGGUGGUAGCACUGCACAGCUGAAGUACCAUGGCCCUCUGCGCCAGGUGGAAGGAGAGGUGGCAGAAGGAGCUCUGAUCUGCCUGUGAAGCUGAAAAAAAGGAAGAGGUGAAGUUGGAAUAACUUUUAAAACCAAAGGAGUGUUACUAAAAAUAAGCUUUAUUUUAUACACUGCUCUUUCCUGACUCACUCGACAGAUUUGUUGAAUUGGUUUCCUCCUCUUACUUUAAACUGCAAGAUGCUUCUCUGCCUUCCACAAACUAAGGUAAAAGUAGCUGUAGCUUCAUUUUUUUGCCAGGGAAAGGAGGAAGCAGAGUUUAGGAAGGGUGGCUUUUGAAAUGAAGAGGAACUUUUGUUCUCAAGCACCUCACUUUCUUAGGCCUUGAAAACACUACUCUUUCUGACAAUCUUUCAGAGUCUACUAGUAAUGAUGGCAGCUAUUUUCUGAGGUUUUACUUUUUCAGGUGAUGCUCAUUCUGGUGUAGCAGCCACCAACUGUCAGACAUGUGGCUUGUGUUCCGUGGCACAAGACAACCAAAAAAGCAAAAUGGGUGCUCAUUUGCAGCUUCAAGUUAAGCACACUUAGCACUGCAAAUACUUCUAGGUUAUAAGUGAGUCUCUGUUUUGUAGGUAAGAGUCAUUAUCUUAGUUUUGCUAAAAGGAGGAAAGUUGAGAAACUGCAGAAAUAACUAAUCUAAGGACAUGUACAAUACCAAAUCCAGUGUCAGGCUAAUUGUGUUGUGUCCACGUGCAUUUGCAUGCAUGUGCAUAUAUUAACGUAUCUGCCUGCCAGUAUUUCUUAGCUUGUAGUUUAAAACAUAAAAGAUCCGUAUCUCCUGGCCUCUACCUGCCAUUUUACUCAGCAUGAUGUAUUCUAGAGCUAGGAAAAAUAGAUUUGGGCUGCUGACAUCAGUCAUCAUUUUUCUUGUUCUCUCCUAUGCCACUGAGAACUGUGUGUCCCUAUCUGUCUUUCUAUUUCACAUUCCACUUAUUGUAAUAAUUUUUGCCUUGCUGAACAACCACAGGUAAGUUUCUACACUGCUCAGAGCCUUGGUACUCCUGUAAGCGAGAUGAUGGUGCCAACACUUACCUAGCCUGGCAGACCAUUCCAGGAUCCACAGCUGCUGAGUGAGACUCAAUAGCACGAUUGUAAUUGGGCAGGCACUGAAAGGCCUCAUGCUCAGUGGCUUUUAUUUCCCUGCCUCCAAGUGCAGCAGUUUUUAAAUGCUGCUGUAUGCGUUCACUGGAAUUUCUCCCCAUCUCUCUUUCCCCUCUCAUUCCCUUCCCACCUCUCCCCUAGGCCUCUCAAAUGCCACAAAGCUCUCUGACAAAUCUAUCUUCACCACUGACCUAUUUUUUCUUCCCUGUCAUUUGGUUCUGGUUUGCCAGCUUUAUUCCCUUCAUAACCACACAUAUCAAUAGUUACUUUAUCACCAUUCCCUUUCCUGAGCCUGGCACUUUUCCACUCUCCUCUUUAGAAAUUCUCCUUCUGUCCUGACUCUUUCUCCAGAAACAGCCGUGGGCUAUUUCUAACCUUCCUUCUCUCAUCAAAGUGCUUGAGAAAUCAGCUUGCUUUCAUCUCUCGAUGGGGAGACUGCAAUGCUGCUGUGGCUCAUGGACAGGCCUCGGAAGCAGGAGCUGAUGCCUGCUAAUGGAAGCACUGCCACUGACUCAUUGCGUGGCCUUCGGCAAACCACUUACCCUCUCUCCUUUCAUAGCUUUAAAAUAGGAGUGAUAAUUAUUCACUUACCUCACAUGGGUGUUGUAAAAGUUUAAUUAUUGCUUGUAAGAUGCUAUCUAACAUUGAAAUAUAUCUUUAUUUUUUGAAUGGUAGCUGUGACCACUGAUACCUGCACUUAGUUCAGGCCCUGGAAUGUGAAACUAUCUUCACUGUGUAGAUGAAGCCAGCCUUCCUUCUGGUCACAGAAGUCCCUGUACCAUAGUGAUAUAUGAUAUAGCAAAGAUCCCUUGACUGCUGGCAGCUCCCUCCUAGGUACCAGGCAGGUAGGCUGAAUGUCCCUCUGAUCAAGGUUACCAUUCCUUCACUUGAUCUUUUCAUCUCUCUCCCCCUGAAGUUGCUGGUGAACCACUCCUGAGCUAAGACUCUUCUCCUCAUCUCCUCUCCACUGCUUUUCCCUUCCUCAUCCACUGUCUCACUAUUCCCUUUCCCUCUGCUGCUGGCAGGACUUGUCUAUUCCACCCUCUCUCUUCUUGCAGUUGCUCUCUCAGCCUGUCUCAACCGGUGCAACUCGAAACUUAGCCUCAGCUUUCUUCAGGAUGUUGCCACACAGAUGGGCCUGUCUAGUGAGAGACUGACUACAUGAGUGUAGGAAGGGGCAGUGGACCACAAGCAGGCAGGUGCUGCUGCUGCUGCCAUCCCUGACGUUGCGCACGUUGUGCGUGAGCAACACAUCUAACAAGUUAGGCCUCUGUCCUACCAUGCACACAUGUGGAUGCCCUGAGGUCUGUUGAGGAGGCAGCUGGUCCUCCAGCACCAAGAGCCAGGAUAGGACAAACAUUCAGUGCCACAUCCUGCAUCACUGCUGGUACUGCUGCUUCCCCUGACAGUAGGCUGCCCUCCUUCCAUUCAAGUGAAUGGUAUACAGAAAAGAUGCUAAAGUUGCAGAGAUGGAAGCUGCUAAGAACAGUGUCCAGGCUGACAUCCCGGAGACCCUCCAUAGGCAACAGAAAAGUGUGGAGAGUUGGGCCAGAUAAGGACAUGACCUUGGCACCCAUAUCCACCCACCUCUAUGCCUCUUCUCAGCCAUCUCCCAACAUAAUAUUGGGGUCAACUCAAGUUACUGGUAUUAAUUAUGUCACUCCCUACACACAGACAAAAAAAAAAAAAAUGGUGAGCAACUUAGAUUGAUUACCACCUCUUUCCUGUGAAAGGGCAACCUGUUUGCUCUGAAGGUUACUGCGAAGCCCAAAGAGACUGUUGCUGUUAACCCUUUUGUAUGCAGAUCUGCUUUUGGAAAUAGAAGACAACUACAUAAAUAAAGGCCACCUCAUAUCAGGGCGAUCCGAACGACUCAAUGGUAAUUGAAAAGUUGAUUAUUUUUUGAUUCUUGGCCAAAAUCUUUAUCUUCAGUUAACAUUGGGCAGUUUCUGAGCUAAAGUUAUAAAAGGGCACGAGAAUGGAAUAAGACCUCUGAGAAGAAACUGCUGUGCAGCUCCUGCCUAUCUAUAAUGUAUCCACUCUAAAAUACAACCAUAAACGUCAGGCAUGAUUUAAUAGGUUAUAAAAUCUUACAUUAUGAUGCCACUGGAACUAUUGAAAAUAAAAGCAGAUAAAUCACACUUCUAUGCAACAAGCUGUACUCACACUGAUUUUUUUCAUUUGCCAAGGUUUCAUUCUGCAGUUCGCUGAGUACACACUGCUCUCACUCGACCUCGAGUUUCCUUUUCCUUUUUUGCUUUUCCUGUUUCCUUUUCCUUCUCCCUUAUUUCAUUUUUCUUUCUUUCCUUCUUAUUUAUUUAUUUAUUCAUUUAUUUAUUUAUCGCUUCUCCUUCUCCUUUGCUGCAUUUCCACGUCAUCCUACCGGUCAUACAGCUGGGCAGCACUGUCACUAUAGGCCAUCGCCUCAGAAGGUACAGAACAGUGCAGAAUGGUGCACUGCUUCCACAGGGCUAGAACUGCAGUGUUAUUCAUUCAUGCAUUCAUUUAUUUAUUUUCAGCAAUGCUGGACAAUCGUUGCAAGCAGAUUGACUUCUGUUGCCCAUAUAAUGUUCUCUCUCACAUUAGAUUAUGAGCAUUAAAUCUACUAGACAAUGUUAAUCUGGCAGGAAAACAAUUUGUGUCACUCUUUUACUGCCAGCAAGAUAUAGAGUUAGAAUGACAUGGAUGACAGAGUGCGCACCACAACUCAGAAUGGGCACGACAGCUGUAAUCCUGUCACCCUGUGGAGAAAAUGAUGCAGAAAAAGGGAGGGGGAAGAGGAACCAGCCUCUGAAAAUAUUACCAAUAGAGAGGAUUAGGCUUUGAGAAAAGUUUGCUUCACCUCUGCAGCUGAGGUAAGUGAAGAGGAGAAGGAUAAACCAGCCACGGUAUCUAUAAAAUGUAAAUCACUUUGGCAUGACCUGACAGAAAUGUUGAACUCUGCCCCUUCAGCUUCUAUUUCUUGUUUACUUUUGUUUAGAAUGUUUUGCAGUAACAGCACAUAGUUUGAUGGCUUUUCUACUUUUACCUUCAGUUUCAUCAUAUGUUUUCCUGUUCCUUAAUUCUCCUGGUCUGAAUCAUGUAAUUACAUACGAAAUGGGCAGACAGGCAGGCAAGGAGUCAGGGAGGGACGAAAGAACUGGGUAAGGAGAGAGGGAGGAAGGGAAAGAGGGAGUGAAAGACAGAUGGAAAAAAGACUAUAAUGAAAGAGAAAAGAAGUCUAAUAGCAUUCAAAAUUUGGGGGAUAAAUUUGCAAAUAGUAGUUUACAAAACAAAACCCAGAAGCAAGAUCAGAAUAUGCAGAUACAUUUGAAUUUAUUUCUUUUUUCCCAAUCUUUUCCCUCAAAAUCCUGCAAUGUUGGAGUGAGAGACAAGUAACUAAUUAUAAAUAACUAACAACUAAUUAUUUUAAAUUCCUGAGGUUAACAGUAUUGACAGAUGUUACACGGUUCUGGACAACAUAAGGACAAAGCAGGUACAGCUUAUAUCUGAAAUUGGUAGCUGAAGACCUAGCACGCUGCAGAACUGUGUUCCAAAUAUCCUAUUUUUGGUAUACCUUUGUGCUUUACCUCAUUCACCAGUGAUUCUGUGUCCCCUAUGGAGCUCUGCCUGCUCAAGAAUGAGCCAGCGCACGUGGAAAUCUCUGCUGGCACUGAAGGGUUUGGACCUGGUUAUGGUUAAGCACAUACUUGACAUGUGUAGCCCUGCCCUGGCCCCUGCCCAUCUUGGGUGAUGUCAGGAAGUUCCCCACAUAUCUUCAGAGAUUUAAAUUCCAUCUAAACAACUACACCUGCUAAAGUAGGUCAAAUGGAGAGGUUUCACCUACCCCAGCUCCUCCACAGCUCCCUGCUAUUGAUUUUCCCCCACAGUCUUGCUCUGUUCCUCUCAGCCAUUUCCCCUUAUUGUCCUGAUGCCACAGUGACAGGCAGGUUCAGGAGCCUGACUGUGGCUCAGAAGCUACUGUCCCUUCUCCAGCUCCCAGCCAGCACACGGGCUCUCCUGGGCCCAUGCAUUUUAACCCAAUCUGAUAGGGUUAGCUAUUGCUGGGUUGGUGUCAAUGGAGCUCUCAGGAGCUUUGUCAUGACCACUUGUUGAUGCAGCAUCCAAGUACAUUCCAACAGUAGCACUGUCAACAUGUAUUGAAGCUGUGACUUGUACAAUGACACCUGCUUUCCAAACAGAAGCAUAAAUUUGUCCCUCAGAAGAAGCUGCACUCCUAUGAACAGUGAAAUGGAGUUAAAUCAGUACAAUCCUCAGUAACUCUUCCCGUUCUUACCUACCAGAAUAUUUUCUUUCGCAGCAGUAGAAAGGUGUUUCUCUUAUUUGCAGGAGCAAUAUACCAGAUGAUUCAAAAUAAUCCAGUAUGUGACAACACGUGAUGAUGACACAGAUUAGAGAAUGGGUGUCCAACUUUUUGGCAUGCCUGGGCCGCACUGAGUGAAGAGGAAUUGUCUAGGGCCACAACUAUGAAGGUUGCUUUGAAAGUAAUGCCUCCAAAUUAUAUCAAUGGAAACUACAACUGAUGCAAAGAGCACAGCUGCACUAUUUAAUAGAGCAAAUUCUCAGGUACAAAACACUCUUCUUCAACACAGUCAUCACCAUUAGCUAUGCAUUUUUCACCAGCGAUGAACAAGAGGAAAUUAGCUGAUGUAGUCGCAAAGCCACUCUCAAUGAUAUUUGAAAAGUCAUGGCAAUCAGGGGAAUUCCCUCAUUACUGGAAAGAAAGGCAAUAUCAUGUCCAUUUUUAAGGAGGGUAAAAAACCUGUCAGUUUCACCUCUAUGUCAGAAAAGAUCAUGGAGCAGAUCCUCCUGGAAGAUAUGCUAAGGUGCAGGGAAGACAGGCAGGUGAUACGGAAGAACCAGCAUGGCUUCACCAGGGGCAAAUCCUGCUUGACCAACCCAGUGGCCUUUUAUGAUGGUGUAACUGCAUCAGUGGACGACGCAAGAGCCACUGAUGUUGUUUGUAUGCAUCAGUACUUGUUAGGGGAUGACCUGCUGGAGAGGAGCUCUGCAGAGAAGGAUCUGGGGGCCCUGGUGGACAACAGGUUGAUCAGGAGCCAGUAGUGUGCCCUUGUGUCCAAGAAGGCCAAUGAUAUCCUGGAAUGCAUUAAAAAGAGCAUGGCCAGCAGGUCAAGGGAGGUGAUUCUCCCCCUCUACUUUGUUGUGGUGAAGCCACAUUUAGACUACCGUGUCUGGUUCUGGGCUCCUCAGUUCAGAAAAGACAGGUAUCUCCUUGAAAGAGUCCCACGGAUGGCCACAAAGAUGGUUAAGUGUCUGGAGCAUCUCCCCUAUGAGGAAAGGCUGAGUAACCUGGGUCUGUUCACCCUGGGUAAAAGAAGACUGAGAGGAUACUGGAUAAAUGUUUAUAAAUAUCUAAAGGGAGGUGGGAGGCAAAAUGGAGGCCAGGCUCUUCUUGAUGGUGUGUAGUGAUAGGACAAGGAGUAAUGGCCUAAAACUUGAACAUAGAGUUCCAAACUAACAUGUGGAAGAACUUUAUGGUAAGGUUGACAGCACUGGAACAGACUGCCCAGAGAGGUUGUGGAGUCCCAUUCUAGGGUGAUAUUCAAGACGUGGCUGGAUGCCUACCUGUGUGACCUAUUGUAAGGUACCUGCUUCAGCAGAGGGGUUGGACUCAAUGAUCUCUUGAGGUCCGUUCCAACUUCUGAGAUUCUGUGAUCUAUCUGGACUUCAGCAAGGCCUUUGACAUGGUACUCCACCACACCCUUCUCUCCAAAUUGGAAAGAUAUGGAUAACAUGGGUAGACUGUUCAAUGGAUGAAGGACUGUUCAAAGGAUGAAGGCUGCAGGAUCAAGUUCAGAGAGCGGUGGUCAAUGGCUCAAUGUCUGGAUGGAGAUCACUGAUGAGAGAUGUCCCCCAUGGGUCAGUUCUGGGACCGAUACUAUUUAAUAUCAGUGGGGUCGAGUGUACCCUCAGCAAGUUUGCGGAUGGCACCAAUAUGUGGUGGUGCAGUUGUCUCAUCAGAGGGACAAGAUGCCUUCCUGAGGGAUCUAGACACGCUUGAGCAGUGGGCCCAGGAGAACUUCAUGGGGUUCAACAAAUCCAAGUGCAAGGUCUUGCACCUGGGUUGUGGCAGCCCCUGCUAUCAAUACAAGCUAGGAGAUAAAAGGAUUGAGUGCAACCCUGCCAAAAAGGACCUGGGGGUACUGGUGGAUGGGAAGCUGGACAUGAGUCAGCAGUGUGUUCUUGCAGCCCAGAAAGCCAAUUGUAUUCUGGGCUGCAUCUAAAAAAAAACAGCCAGCAGGCUGAGGGAGGUGAUCCUGCCCCUCUACUCUGUGCAGGUGAAGCCUCACUUGGAGCACUGCAUCCAGAUGUGGAGUCCUCAGUACAGGACAGACACACACGUACUGGAGCACGUCCAGAGGAAGGCCAGAAAAAUGAUCCAAGGGAUGAAACACCUCUCCUAUGAGGACAAACUGAAAGGGCUGGGGCUGUUCAGCCUGGAGAAGAGAAGGCUUGGAAGUGACCUGAUAGUGGCCUUCCAAAAUCUAAAGGGGGGAGCUACAGGAAAGAAGAGGACAGACUCUCUCCUGUCCCUGGAGACUUUCAAGGAAAAGCUGGAUCAGGCCCUGAUCUAGCUGCGGAUGUCCCUGUUCAUUGCAGAGGAGUUGGACAAGAUGAUCUUUAAGGGUCCCUUCCAACUCUAAGGAUUUGAUGAUUCUGUGAUUCUGUGCUGUACUCAUAACAAUCUACACCAGCAGAGGUGACCCACUGUCACUGCUGCUGCUGCUGAAAUGCAUCACUCACCACCUCACUGUGCUCACAUCCACUGUUUGGCCUUCAUAAAUGUACAGCAAGUAUUGAUGAAUGUCACUGGGUGCAA